AAAAGAACAAAAAGCUAAAGAACUAACUAUCAUAUAGGGUUAAGGAACGGAGCCAAAUCAACUCGGUCAUUGAAGCCUGCCGGACCCUGGGCAUUACACCACAAGAUCCAACGAGCCUCUCGUUGCAACAAGAAGAAUCACAUGAUUUAAGUGCGCAGCGUGAUGACGUGAACUUGAGUCCGGAAGAAGCACGGAGUACCGUGUGAAACGGCUGGCAUUGCCUCCAAACACUUUAGUGACAUCUAUGGACAUCUCCCGGACCUUAAGCCUCCUGUACUGAAUAGACAGACUACGUGGAUCACUUUCCACGCUCGCAUUCUUGGUGAACAAGUUAGAAGAGAAAUCUGAUGCAGGCCAAUUAUUUUUACUUUCAAAGCCAUUAAUCAAGAUCGACUGAGAGAAUGAAAACAGCCAAGAAACAUUUCAUAUGUGGCUGGAAGUGAGAUUAAAAUGAAACCAGAUGGGGAUGGACCCAGACACUAAGCAUUUUUGGACUUGCGUAAUAAAUGUAUUUUACAAAUCGCAGGGCUCUUAUUUUUCGUACAGUAAAUCAAACCGGGUUAUGGCAUACAAGUGGUCUCCCUACAAAAACGUCAAAAAAUAGAACAUGCCGUAUUCAUGUAGAGUAAUGCUUCCCAAUGAAAACCAGCGGUGUGGCCUUAAAGAAAGUAAUAUACAAGCUGGGCUCAGCUCCGACAUGCAGCUGUUUAGUUACUGUGAUCAUACUGGAGACUGUCACCCAGUACUUGGCUGCAUGGUUGCUCUGGGUUCAUGGGCUUAAAUCUGUCCAGGGCAACAUCUGCAUUGAGUUCAUGUCAUCUCCGUCUGGUGGG